GAAUGGUGCAGUCUCUGGUGUUGUGAUAAAGUCUAUGGAAGUGUUUGCUGCACUUUGGACUAAAAUAAAGAGGGCCUGGAACACGGAAGAAGAAACAGAUCAUGAAGACUCACAGGUGAAAAGGAGCUCUGGGAGAGGGAAAAGAAAGUAUUAUAUUACCUGAAGGACGCAUUUUUAAAAAAUGUGAUCAUAAGUGAAUGUUGAAGAAAAUUGGAGCUCCGUAUUAGCCAAGUUGCUUUGCACAAAAUAAAAAAGACUGGGGCCCUGGAUUGCAACACACGACAGUGAAGAAGACUCAAUAUCAGGGACAUUUGCUUUCCUUGAAAUAACAGUAACUACUCCUGAAGCUCCAGGAUUAUGUCUGCUGUUUACCCCGUGGGAUGCAGACAGAGACCACGAAGUUACAGAGGGCUCCUGGCUGAGUCCCGACUGUGUGUGAAGUCACGCCCUCUGAAGAGGAGCAUUCGCAUCCACAUCUGACCCCCUAGUGAGUCUUCAUUCACUCCUAACUUGACGCAGCCUGGAUAAAACUGACCUUAUCAU